AGAGUUUGAUCCUGGCUCAGAACGAACGCUGGCGGCGCGUCUUAAGCAUGCAAGUCGAGCGGCAAGAGGGAGCAAUUCCUCCUAGAGCGGCGGACUGGUGAGUAACGCGUGGGUGAUCUACCUUUAGGUUGGGGAUAGCUGUUAGAAAUAGCAGGUAAUACCGGAUGAGGUCAGGGUGCUAUGGUAUCCUGAAGAAAGGAGCUAAGGCUCCGCCUGAAGAUGAGCCCGCGUCCCAUUAGCUAGUUGGUGAGGUAAGAGCCCACCAAGGCGAUGAUGGGUAGCCGGCCUGAGAGGGUGAACGGCCACACUGAGAUACGGCCCAGACUCCUACGGGAGGCAGCAGCUAAGAAUAUUCCGCAAUGGACGAAAGUCUGACGGAGCGACGCCGCGUGGAUGAAGAAGGCCGAAAGGUUGUAAAAUUCUUUUGUUGACGAAGAAUAAGCGUGGUAGGGAAUGACCAUGUGAUGACGUUAGUCAAAUAAGCCCCGGCUAAUUACGUGCCAGCAGCCGCGGUAACACGUAAGGGGCGAGCGUUGUUCGGAAUUAUUGGGCGUAAAGGGCGCGUAGGCGGUUUUUCAAGCCUGGCGUGAAAUGGUAGGGCUUAACCCUAUCACUGCGUUGGGAACUGAGAGACUAGAGUCAUGGAGGGGGAGUUGGAAUUCCUAGUGUAGGGGUGAAAUCUGUAGAUAUUAGGAAGAACACCGGUGGCGAAGGCGAACUUCUAGCCAAUGACUGACGCUGAGGCGCGAAAGUGCGGGGAGCAAACAGGAUUAGAUACCCUGGUAGUCCGCACUAUAAACGAUGUACACUAGGUGUUGGACCGAGCGGUUCAGUGCCGAAGCGAACGUGAUAAGUGUACCGCCUGGGGAGUAUGCCCGCAAGGGUGAAACUCAAAGGAAUUGACGGGGGCCCGCACAAGCGGUGGAGCAUGUGGUUUAAUU
rnacentral:rRNA from 1 species